rnacentral:rRNA from 1 species
UACGAAGGGGGCUAGCGUUGCUCGGAAUUACUGGGCGUAAAGGGCGCGUAGGCGGAUAGUUUAGUCAGAGGUGAAAGCCCAGGGCUCAACCUUGGAACUGCCUUUGAUACUGGCUAUCUUGAGUUCGGGAGAGGUGAGUGGAAUGCCGAGUGUAGAGGUGAAAUUCGUAGAUAUUGGGAAGAACACCAGUGGCGAAGGCGGCUCACUGGUCCGGUACUGACGCUGAGGUGCGAAAGCGUGGGGAGCAAACAGG